CCUGCAUGUCUAAGUACAAGCCGCUAGUCGGCGAAACCGCGAAUGGCUCAAUAAAUCAGUUAUGGUUCCUUAGAUCUUUCCAUCCUACUUGGAUAACUGUGGUAAUUCUAGAGCUAAUACAUGCACCACAAGCCCCGACUCGUCCGGCGUCAAAACCGGGCCGUAGAAGGGGUGCUUUUAUUAGAUCAAAACCAAUCGGGCGCCUUCGCGGGUGCCCGUUCCAUUUGGUGACUCUGAAUAACUUUCCGCUGAUCGCACGGCCUCCGCGCCGGCGACGCAUCUUUCAAAUGUCUGCCUUAUCAACUUUCGAUGGUAGGUUAUGCGCCUACCAUGGUUGCAACGGGUAACGGGGAAUCGGGGUUCGAUUCCGGAGAGGGAGCCUGAGAAACGGCUACCACAUCCAAGGAAGGCAGCAGGCGCGCAAAUUACCCACUCCCGGCACGGGGAGGUAGUGACGAAAAAUAACGAUACGGGACUCUUCCGAGGCCCCGUGAUUGGAAUGAGUACACUUUAAAUCCUUUAACGAGGACCUAUUGGAGGGCAAGUCUGGUGCCAGCAGCCGCGGUAACUCCAGCUCCAAUAGCGUAUAUUAAAGUUGUUGCGGUUAAAAAGCUCGUAGUUGGAUUCCUGUCUUCGGCCGGGCGGUGCCGCCCGAUAAUCAAGGGCGUCGCACUGCCUUGGGAGCGUUGGUGUCAAAGCCGCGCUCUUUUAACGGUCGGACAAUACCACCGGAGUGGCGGGGGAUAGGCGUCGGCUCUCGCAGUUCGGCGCCGAAGGACCGCCCGUAAUCGUCCGAGGUGCCUUUAACCGGGUGUCUCGGGCGGCCGGUAACGUUUACUUUGAACAAAUUAGAGUGCUCAAAGCAGGUGCAUACCUUCGCCUGAAUAUCACAGCAUGGAAUGAUGGAAUAGGACCUCGGUCUUAUUUUGUUGGUUUUCUCUAGACCCGAGGUAAUGGUUAAUAGAGACAGACGGGGGCAUUCGUACUGCGACGCUAGAGGUGAAAUUCUUGGACCGUCGCAAGACGAACGACUGCGAAAGCAUUUGCCAAGAAUGUUUUCAUUAAUCAAGAACGAAAGUUAGAGGUUCGAAGGCGAUCAGAUACCGCCCUAGUUCUAACCAUAAACGAUGCCAACCAGCGAUCCGCCGAAGUUACUCCCAUGACUCGGCGGGCAGCUUCCGGGAAACCAAAGUCUUUGGGUUCCGGGGGAAGUAUGGUUGCAAAGCUGAAACUUAAAGGAAUUGACGGAAGGGCACCACCAGGAGUGGAGCCUGCGGCUUAAUUUGACUCAACACGGGAAACCUCACCAGGCCCGGACACUGGAAGGAUUGACAGAUUGAGAGCUCUUUCUUGAUUCGGUGGGUGGUGGUGCAUGGCCGUUCUUAGUUGGUGGAGCGAUUUGUCUGGUUAAUUCCRAUAACGAACGAGACUCUAGCCUGCUAAAUAGGUGGCGGGUUUUAUUAAAAAAUUUGGGUUCGGGGUUCGUCGGGACCAGGGUGUCUGUCUCAGGCGUUCUUUGUSCGCCGGUCGUUSCKSCCSGCCGCCGGGUGSGGGGSGAGGYGKUUSGGSGUYSYGUYWYGUUUSUGGUKGUSKGKGGKGGCGGUCGGUGGCUUGGUUCGUCGGGGGCCGGCGCUCCCCGGCGGUUCGCCCCGUUCUCGCGUCCGUCACAACUCUUCUUAGAGGGACAAGCGGCGUCCAGCCGCGUGACAGUGAGCAAUAACAGGUCUGUGAUGCCCUUAGAUGUCCUGGGCCGCACGCGCGCUACACUGAAGGAAUCAGCGUGUUUUUCUCCCCCUGUCCGAAAGGACCGGGUAACCGCUGAACCUCCUUCGUGGUUGGGAUUGGGGACUGCAAUGAUCCCCAUGAACCAGGAAUCCCUAGUAGGCGCGAGUCACUAGCUCGCGUCGAUUACGUCCCUGCCCUUUGUACACACCGCCCGUCGCUACUACCGAUUGAAUGAUUUAGUGAGGCCUUCGGACGGGCUCGUCGGGGGUUCGGGUCGUCGGGGAGCAAUCUCCGGCUUCUCGGCUCUAAAUUAACGGCGAGACUGAAAGAUGUUC
rnacentral:rRNA from 1 species